UAAGUAGACCGCCUGGGGAGUACGGCCGCAAGGUUAAAACUCAAAUGAAUUGACGGGGGCCCGCACAAGCGGUGGAGCAUGUGGUUUAAUUCGACGCAACGCGAAGAACCUUACCUGGCCUUGACAUGCAGAGAACUUUCCAGAGAUGGAUUGGUGCCUUCGGGAACUCUGACACAGGUGCUGCAUGGCCGUCGUCAGCUCGUGUCGUGAGAUGUUGGGUUAAGUCCCGUAACGAGCGCAACCCCUAUCCCUAGUUGCUAGCAGUUCGGCUGAGAACUCUAGGGAGACUGCCGGUGACAAACCGGAGGAAGGUGGGGAUGACGUCAGGUCAUCAUGGCCCUUACGGCCAGGGCUACACACGUGCUACAAUGGUGCGUACAGAGGGCUGCAAACCCGCGAGGGGGAGCUAAUCUCACAAAACGCAUCGUAGUCCGGAUCGGAGUCUGCAACUCGACUCCGUGAAGUCGGAAUCGCUAGUAAUCGCGAAUCAGAAUGUCGCGGUGAAUACGUUCCCGGGCCUUGUACACACCGCCCGUCACACCAUGGGAGUGGAUUGCACCAGAAGUGGUUAGUCUAACCUUCGGGAGGA
rnacentral:rRNA from 1 species